GAUGAACGCUGGCGGCGUGCCUAAUACAUGCAAGUCGAGCGAACAGAUAAGGAGCUUGCUCCUUUGACGUUAGCGGCGGACGGGUGAGUAACACGUGGGUAACCUACCUAUAAGACUGGGAUAACUUCGGGAAACCGGAGCUAAUACCGGAUAAUAUUUCGAACCGCAUGGUUCGAUAGUGAAAGAUGGUUUUGCUAUCACUUAUAGAUGGACCCGCGCCGUAUUAGCUAGUUGGUAAGGUAACGGCUUACCAAGGCGACGAUACGUAGCCGACCUGAGAGGGUGAUCGGCCACACUGGAACUGAGACACGGUCCAGACUCCUACGGGAGGCAGCAGUAGGGAAUCUUCCGCAAUGGGCGAAAGCCUGACGGAGCAACGCCGCGUGAGUGAUGAAGGUCUUCGGAUCGUAAAACUCUGUUAUUAGGGAAGAACAUACGUGUAAGUAACUGUGCACGUCUUGACGGUACCUAAUCAGAAAGCCACGGCUAACUACGUGCCAGCAGCCGCGGUAAUACGUAGGUGGCAAGCGUUAUCCGGAAUUAUUGGGCGUAAAGCGCGCGUAGGCGGUUUUUUAAGUCUGAUGUGAAAGCCCACGGCACAACCGUGGAGGGUCAUUGGAAACUGGAAAACUUGAGUGCAGAAGAGGAAAGUGGAAUUCCAUGUGUAGCGGUGAAAUGCGCAGAGAUAUGGAGGAACACCAGUGGCGAAGGCGACUUUCUGGUCUGUAACUGACGCUGAUGUGCGAAAGCGUGGGGAUCAAACAGGAUUAGAUACCCUGGUAGUCCACGCCGUAAACGAUGAGUGCUAAGUGUUAGGGGGUUUCCGCCCCUUAGUGCUGCAGCUAACGCAUUAAGCACUCCGCCUGGGGAGUACGACCGCAAGGUUGAAACUCAAAGGAAUUGACGGGGACCCGCACAAGCGGUGGAGCAUGUGGUUUAAUUCGAAGCAACGCGAAGAACCUUACCAAAUCUUGACAUCCUUUGACAACUCUAGAGAUAGAGUUUUCCCCUUCGGGGGACAAAGUGACAGGUGGUGCAUGGUUGUCGUCAGCUCGUGUCGUGAGAUGUUGGGUUAAGUCCCGCAACGAGCGCAACCCUUAAGCUUAGUUGCCAUCAUUAAGUUGGGCACUCUAAGUUGACUGCCGGUGACAAACCGGAGGAAGGUGGGGAUGACGUCAAAUCAUCAUGCCCCUUAUGAUUUGGGCUACACACGUGCUACAAUGGACAAUACAAAGGGCAGCGAAACCGCGAGGUCAAGCAAAUCCCAUAAAGUUGUUCUCAGUUCGGAUUGUAGUCUGCAACUCGACUACAUGAAGCUGGAAUCGCUAGUAAUCGUAGAUCAGCAUGCUACGGUGAAUACGUUCCCGGGUCU
rnacentral:rRNA from 1 species